rnacentral:rRNA from 1 species
GAUGAACGCUGGCGGCGUGCCUAAUACAUGCAAGUCGAGCGAACAGACGAGGAGCUUGCUCCUCUGACGUUAGCGGCGGACGGGUGAGUAACACGUGGAUAACCUACCUAUAAGACUGGGAUAACUUCGGGAAACCGGAGCUAAUACCGGAUAAUAUAUUGAACCGCAUGGUUCAAUAGUGAAAGACGGUUUUGCUGUCACUUAUAGAUGGAUCCGCGCCGCAUUAGCUAGUUGGUAAGGUAACGGCUUACCAAGGCAACGAUGCGUAGCCGACCUGAGAGGGGGGUCGGCCACACGGGAGCAGAGACACGGUACAGACUCAUGCGGGAGGCAGAAGUGGGGAAUGUUCCACAAUGGGCGAAAGCCUGACGAAGUAACGCCGCGUGAGAGAUGAAGGGCUUCGGAUCGUAAAACUCUUUUAUUGGGGACGAACAAAUGAGUAAGGAACAAUGCAGGUCUUGACGGUACCGAAUCAGAAAGCCACGGCUAACUACGUG